rnacentral:rRNA from 1 species
GGGRAUACUGCCAGGCUUGGAACCGGGGAGAGGUAAGAGGUACUACAGGGGUAGGAGUAAAAUCUUGUAAUCCCCUGUGGGACCACCUGUGGCGAAGGCGUCUUACCAGAACGGGUUCGACGGUGAGGGACGAAAGCUGGGGGCACGAACCGGAUUAGAUACCCGGGUAGUCCCAGCCGUAAACGAUGCUCGCUAGGUGUCAGGCAUGGCGCGACCGUGUCUGGUGCCGCAGGGAAGCCGUGAAGCGAGCCACCUGGGAAGUACGGCCGCAAGGCUGAAACUUAAAGGAAUUGCGGGGGAGCAC